GACCAUCUUGCAGCCAGUGCUGGUGGUGAGCAUCGACACCAGACCCACGACGGUGCCGCUGAUGCAGCCGUGCUUGGUCCGACGCCCCAAGUGAGCACGCCGACCGCCUAAUCAGCCUAUCAAGCUCCUGUUCCAAGGUAGUUUGCACAUCAGUCUUCUCAUUCUCCAGGCUUCUAGUUCUAGAGUCUAAUUCUACCUUGGAUUGCUUAUAUUGCUCUUUGGCUGCAAACCUUUCUUUAAGACGUUCCUUAAUCUAUGAAGAUAGUUCGAGUGCCAAUUGUUUUCUGUCUUCGAUCAAGAUGAGAACCAGCUGCAUAAUGUCAGUUGAGUUCAAUCAGGAACGCUG
rnacentral:lncRNA from 1 species